rnacentral:rRNA from 1 species
CUGGGAGGACCAUCUCCUAAGGCUAAAUACUCUCUAGUGACCGAUAGUGAACCAGUACCGUGAGGGAAAGGUGAAAAGCACCCCGGAAGGGGAGUGAAAUAGAACCUGAAACCGUGUGCUUACAAGUAGUCAGAGCCCGUUAAUGGGUGAUGGCGUGCCUUUUGUAGAAUGAACCGGCGAGUUACGAUUUGAUGCAAGGUUAAGCAGUAAAUGUGGAGCCGUAGCGAAAGCGAGUCUGAAUAGGGCGUUUAGUAUUUGGUCGUAGACCCGAAACCAGGUGAUCUACCCUUGGUCAGGUUGAAGUUCAGGUAACACUGAAUGGAGGACCGAACCGACUUACGUUGAAAAGUGAGCGGAUGAACUGAGGGUAGCGGAGAAAUUCCAAUCGAACCUGGAGAUAGCUGGUUCUCUCCGAAAUAGCUUUAGGGCUAGCCUCAAGUGAUGAUUAUUGGAGGUAGAGCACUGUUUGGACGAGGGGCCCCUCUCGGGUUACCGAAUUCAGACAAACUCCGAAUGCCAAUUAAUUUAACUUGGGAGUCAGAACAUGGGUGAUAAGGUCCGUGUUCGAAAGGGAAACAGCCCAGACCACCAGCUAAGGUCCCAAAAUAUAUGUUAAGUGGAAAAGGAUGUGGCGUUGCCCAGACAACUAGGAUGUUGGCUUAGAAGCAGCCAUCAUUUAAAGAGUGCGUAAUAGCUCACUAGUCGAGUGACACUGCGCCGAAAAUGUACCGGGGCUAAACAUAUUACCGAAGCUGUGGAUUGUCCUUUGGACAAUG